UGCCAGACUCCUACGGGAGGCAGCAGUGAGGAAUAUUGGUCAAUGGGCGGGAGCCUGAACCAGCCAAGUCGCGUGAGGGAAGACGGUCCUAUGGAUUGUAAACCUCUUUAGGCGGGGAGCAAUGCCGGGCACGCGUGCCCGGAGGGAGAGUACCCGCAGAAUAAGCAUCGGCUAACUCCGUGCCAGCAGCCGCGGUAAUACGGAGGAUGCGAGCGUUAUCCGGAUUUAUUGGGUUUAAAGGGUGCGUAGGCGGAUUUUUAAGUCAGCGGUAAAAUGUCCGGGCUCAACCCGGGCCGGCCGUUGAAACUGGUUUUCUAGAGUUGGAGAGAAGUAUGCGGAAUUCGUGGUGUAGCGGUGAAAUGCAUAGAUAUCACGAAGAACUCCGAUUGCGAAGGCAGCAUACCGGCGCUCAACUGACGCUCAUGCACGAAAGUGUGGGUAUCGAACAGGAUUAGAUACCCCUGUAU
rnacentral:rRNA from 1 species